rnacentral:rRNA from 1 species
CGGGUGAGUAACGCGUGGGUAACCUGCCCCUUUCACCGGGAUAACAGCUGGAAACGGCUGCUAAAACCGGAUAAUCUCCGAGAUAGGCAUCUAUUUUGGAGGAAAAGAGGCCUCUAUAUAUAAGCUCCUGGGAAGGGAUGGACCCGCGUCUGAUUAGCUAGUUGGUAGGGUAACGGCCUACCAAGGCGACGAUCAGUAACCGGCCUGAGAGGGUGGUCGGUCACACUGGGACUGAGACACGGCCCAGACUCCUACGGGAGGCAGCAGUGAGGAAUCUUCCGCAAUGGGCGAAAGCCUGACGGAGCAACGCCGCGUGAAUGAAGAAGGCCUUCGGGUCGUAAAGUUCUGUCUUUUGGGACGAAGGCCCAUGGGGUAAAUAAUCCUGUGGGAUGACGGUACCAGAGGAGGAAGCUCCGGCUAACUACGUGCCAGCAGCCGCGGUAAUACGUAGGGAGCGAGCGUUGUCCGGAAUUACUGGGCGUAAAGGGCGCGUAGGCGGGUAAUUAAGUCAGAUGUGAAAGCCCCGGGCUUAACUUGGGGAGUGCAUUUGAGACUGGUUAUCUUGAGGGCAGGAGAGGAAAGUGGAAUUCCUAGUGUAGCGGUGGAAUGCGUAGAUAUUAGGAGGAACACCAGUGGCGAAGGCGACUUUCUGGACUGUACCUGACGCUGAUGCGCGAAAGCGUGGGGAGCGAACGGGAUUAGAUACCCCGGUAGUCCAUGCCGUAAACGAUGAAUACUAGGUGUAGGAGGUAUUCGACCCUUCUGUGCCGCCAGUUACCACCAAUAA